AGGGUCUCUCUGACACUACAGUUUUGCUUGGAACAAUCUUGUGCAACAUGAGUCGUCUAGGAUCCAUCAUAUAUUUCCCAGGUUGCUAGGAUCUACCACAAUUUAUAUUCUUUGAGCAUGACCUUCAAGGACCCAGGAUAAUCUCUAUCCCGCCAUGAGCUUUUGGAAACACAGCAGUCCAAAUUACCUUUUAUGAAUGAGCAAAGAUUAUAGAGAUAAUGGGGUAGGGGUGAUGAUGUAUGUCCAGUUCACCUAAGAGGGAGUUGCUCAUAUGGAAGACCCUGUGGGAUUUGCUUCUGAAAGACAAGAUAAUUGGAGUAUGAACCAGAAGCCACUACAAAUGUUCAUACAUACAAUGUAUCUGCUAUUUUAACAUUCCUGAGGAAGGUAAAAUGGGUCAUAUCCAAGUAUCAUUUGUUAUUUGAAGAUAGCAAGUCGCAUAAUAAACUGAGGGAUCAGGGAAAGCA
rnacentral:lncRNA from 1 species